rnacentral:rRNA from 1 species
GAGGAAUAUUGGUCAAUGGGCGAGAGCCUGAACCAGCCAAGUCGCGUGAAGGAAGACUGCCCUAUGGGUUGUAAACUUCUUUUGUACUAGAGUAAAAAGAGGUAUGUAUACCUUCUUGCAAGUAUAGUACGAAUAAGCAUCGGCUAACUCCGUGCCAGCAGCCGCGGUAAUACGGAGGAUGCGAGCGUUAUCCGGAUUUAUUGGGUUUAAAGGGUGCGUAGGCGGGGAUUUAAGUCAGCGGUGAAAGUUUGAGGCUCAACCUUAAAAUUGCCGUUGAAACUGGAUUUCUUGAGUGUAGAUGAAGUAGGCGGAAUUUGUGGUGUAGCGGUGAAAUGCAUAGAUAUCACGAAGAACUCCGAUUGCGCAGGCAGCUUACUAAGGUACAUCUGACGCUGAAGCACGAAAGCGUGGGUAUCAAAC